rnacentral:rRNA from 1 species
CCUACGGGCGGCUGCAGUGGGGAAUAUUGCAUAAUGGGCGCAAGCCUGAUGCAGCCAUGCCGCGUGUGUGAAGAAGGCCUUCGGGUUGUAAAGCACUUUCAGCGGGGAGGAAGGCGUUAAGGUUAAUAACCUUGGCGAUUGACGUUACCCGCAGAAGAAGCACCGGCUAACUCCGUGCCAGCAGCCGCGGUAAUACGGAGGGUGCAAGCGUUAAUCGGAAUUACUGGGCGUAAAGCGCACGCAGGCGGUCUGUCAAGUCGGAUGUGAAAUCCCCGGGCUCAACCUGGGAACUGCAUUCGAAACUGGCAGGCUAGAGUCUUGUAGAGGGGGGUAGAAUUCCAGGUGUAGCGGUGAAAUGCGUAGAGAUCUGGAGGAAUACCGGUGGCGAAGGCGGCCCCCUGGACAAAGACUGACGCUCAGGUGCGAAAGCGUGGGGAGCAAACAGGAUUAGAUACCCGUGUAGUC